CCUACGGGUGGCAGCAGUGAGGAAUAUUGGUCAAUGGGCGCGAGCCUGAACCAGCCAAGUCGCGGGAGGGAUGAAGGUUCUAUGGAUCGUAAACCUCUUUUAUAAGGGAAUAAAGUGUGGGACGUGUCCUAUUUUGUAUGUACCUUAUGAAUAAGUAUCGGCUAACUCCGUGCCAGCAGUCGCGGUAAAACGGAGGAUCCGAGCGUUAUCCGGAUUUAUUGGGUUUAAAGGUUGCGUAGGCGGCCUUUUAAGUUAGCGGUGAAAGUCUGUGGCUCAACCAUAGAAUUGCCGUUGAAACUGGGGGGCUUGAGUAUGUUUGAGGCAGGCGGAAGGCGUGGUGUAGCGGUGAAAUGCUUAGCUAUCACGCAGAACCCCGAUUGCGAAGGCAGCCUGCCAAGCCAUGACUGACGCUGAUGCACGAAAGCGUGGGGAUCAAACAGGAUUAGAUACCCCGGUAGUC
rnacentral:rRNA from 1 species